AAGUUCGAAAGAUAUAUUUUUGCAGUUACCUUAUUCAGCAGGUAUUUAAUUUUUCGUCCCAUUAAAUUUUUCAAUAGAUCGAAUUUUAAAAACAUCACAGUGAUGUAAAUCUCGAAAACCGAGGAAUUGGCAUCCCAAUCAGGCAUCGAAAAGAAAACGUCAAAAAAAGCGAAAAGCUGAAAUUUUUAUUUAUGUUUGUUUUGGUUCUUUAUUCUGUGAUGAAAAUCCGGUGAACGGUGUCGUGUGGUCAGGAAUGUGGAUUGCAGUGUUUCGUUCCGAGUCGGCACUGCCGACAAAAAUUCGCAGAUUGAGAAACAGCCGGAACAAUCUAUGAUGUCAAUCUUCAUCCAGUACCCGAUAGUCUGUACUCGUUCGGUGGUUCCGCGACCGUUUCUGUCCCAAGAGAUCCAGCAUUAAGUCCUGACAUCAACACGAGCGAUCACCACUUCCGAAUGGAAUGCGGUUAAAGGGCCGCAGCUACGGCCAAAUCUGCUCGAUAUUGAAUCCGAUGAACAUCGAUAGCGAUGUGCUCCACAGAUACGGUAGAGGGUUCCCACACGUAGGAAGAAUAUUUCUCCUGUACUGAGCCUUGUGUGACAGUGACGCCGUUCGGGAAAAUUAGACGAUUCGAGACUGCAGUCACAGAAAAAGUCAAUUGCAACGGCUUUCUCGAUAUCGGAUUGAAAUAUAAAAUUGUGGAUGCUUCACUGAGGCGGUUAAGAUUUAUACGAAAUGGCCCAAGGCAUUAACAGUACGCUGAGAAAAUUCAACUGUUCUUGGGAAAAGUUGAUCUUGGGAGCAAAUUGGUAAACCAGUAGACUUUGUAAGGAAAAUAGUUCUUGAAUCUAAUAAGAUAUCACAGGAUUUGAAGUUGCUUCAUAAAACUAUUCAGGCCCAGUUCUGAGAUGAUGUCGUAUAUGGAAGGUACAUUAGUUAGUCGUUCUGCUCCUCAGACGAAAACUGUCGACAACCGACUUAUCAAGCCGCUCGUUAGACCACCAUUAAAACGCCCAAGGACAUUUCAACAAUGGAAACGACAAAUGUCACCGGUAAGCAAUUUCCAAUUAUUCAUUUUUUAAAUAAGUCCACACACUUCAAUUUCUAUUUGGAAUGCAUUCAAAUAUGCGGGAAUAGCUUAAAACCUAAACUCACUACUGAUAACAAGUUGAUGUCAUAGAAUGAAUAAAUGAAGACGCUAUAAUGUACGAUGUAUGCCAAAGCAUAAUUAAAAUCGCCUCUAUGUAUGCAAUGAUGUUUGCAAGUAUGUGGGGUGAAGUUGGCUAUGGCUGAACAAAUUCGAUUUUUCCAAAACUCACCCCAAUUUUUUUUUAAAUAAACGGAUGCUAAAGACUUAAUAGAAUGUUCAGUAUUCGAAAACCCGUACUCACAAGACCUCCAAACAUCAAUUUUGUAUUUAAGUAAAACUAAAAUUAAAUGAUUCCGUUCAUACGAACAUGUUGGAAAAGUAUUUUUUCCCCAGUACAGUUUUGAUCAUAAUGUUGUCGCUUUUUGAAUCAGUAGAGGAAUCAAUAUACACAAAAAAUAGUUUUGAAGUUGUUGAUAAUAAAAAGUGCCCGGUGGCCGAUAACCCUAACCUUUUUAUAGCAGUGUAAUAAAACAUAUUGUUGCAUAUCUGUAGGCGAUAUUUUUUAUUGAAAUGGUAUGCAUGAAGUUGUAGGUGUAGUAUCUAAGCAAUCAUCGCUAUGUACACAUGCCAAGUAGACCUAGCUAUGAAAAUACAUUCACUUAUUAUUAUAUCGCUCAUUAAAACGUCUCAAUGUAUAGAAACGGAUGAAGAUGUGUAGUGCAGAAUUAUUUUUUAAUUAACCUCAACAGCGGAGUGAUGCUGUUUUGAAAAUCAUAUUGAAUUUAAAGGCUGUACCUAGAAUACUUGUUCUAAUAACUGAAUUGUUAACGAGGAUGUCUCAUGAAAUUUUACAAAUGCUACAACAAGAUGGUAGUUCGAUUGCACAAACAAAAAUUACACGAAAUAUUGGAAGCAGAAACGAUAGGUACUACAAGUGGAUAAUUUAAGUUUUGUCGGUCAGAAAAGUCUCUCCAAUAUUGUUUUUUUGCAGACUAUUUGGUACUAUUGACAAAUUAGACCGAAUUGACCAUUAGAGUUCUAUCGGUUCAACUUCGAUAAGCGACAUACUGUACGUUGACAGCGAAACGACCAAAUAAAAAAAACGGUUUUCUGAGUGUCUGGAGGAAUGUUUGAAGUUGUAGAACGUUACUACUUUGGCAUAUUAACUGUUUUUUUCUAGAAAAUUAUUUAUAUCAGUCUGUAGAAUGUUUUACAAAUUAUAAAG